UACGUAGGGUCCGAGCGUUGUCCGGAAUUACUGGGCGUAAAGAGCUCGUAGGUGGUUUGUCGCGUUGUUCGUGAAAACUCACAGCUCAACUGUGGGCGUGCGGGCGAUACGGGCAGACUUGAGUACUGCAGGGGGAGACUGGAAUUCCUGGUGUAGCGGUGGAAUGCGCAGAUAUCAGGAGGAACACCGGUGGCGAAGGCGGGUCUCUGGGCAGUAACUGACGCUGAGGAGCGAAAGCGUGGGGGAGCGAACAGG
rnacentral:rRNA from 1 species